CGGGGUGUAGUUCAUCGGAAGAACGCUCGGUUCGGGACCGAGAGGCACGGGGUUCAAUUCCCCGCACCCCGA
rfam:Candidatus Roizmanbacteria bacterium RIFCSPHIGHO2_02_FTLL_40_9 rifcsphigho2_02_scaffold_38635, whole genome shotgun sequence.